CGUAGGCGACGACCACCGUGCGCAGCAGGCCGAGCUGAGGCGCCCGCCCCCAGCCGCCGCCCCGGGACCCGCGCCGCCAGGGUCCAGCGGGAGCGGCGGCCCCUUUAAGACGGACACGCUCGAACUUUCCACCCCGGCUGCCCGGCAGCGCGCUCACGUCACCCUUCGGGGACGCGCCUGACGUCAGCGCGCUCUCCGUGGGGGGCGGGGCCGGUGACUCACGCCGUCCGGCCCUCGCCCCGGGCCGGCCGCGUGCACGUGAGCGCGCCGCUCGCUCGGUCUAAUUUUAGCGGUGAGGUGUCAGGGUCGUGUGAGGUGAGGCGGCGGGGUCCCCGCGGGGACAGGGUCACGUGAGUGAGUGAGAGAAAACGUUGAGUUGGGAAGCUGGCCGAGCGAACAGCUGAGGAGACCCGGGCCCAGCUGUCAUCUUGUCAAGGGGCUUCCGAGGCUGCAUCUUCCCUACAGGACUCAAGACACCUUCCUGCAAGUGUGUGAGAACAGGACACACACGUGCCUCCGUCAUCCAGAGUGCCCAGGCCAACGAUGUGUGGUUAGAUUGGGAGGGAAGAUAUGACUGGCACAUCUACUUCCGCCAGCACCACUUCGAAGACAGGACAUGGACUGACCCCCUCCCCCCUCCCCGGCAUGAGGAUGAUUGGAGGGGCCGGGUCUGGUGUUCCAGAUUUGCCAUGGUGUGUGGGACCAAGACUCAGGGUACCGGAGUGACCUUCUGGGAACCAGAUAAAAGUUUAGUGUUGAAGAAAUGGAUGCCAGGCACCUUGUAAAGUUGGCACUCAACCCUGCAUUGGAGAGAAGUUCUAGAAAGAAAGCCUUGUCGGCAGAAAGUGAGCUGCACUUUUGACGUGUGGACUUGUUUGCCGUGUUCCAGUGACCUGCAUUCUGUUAGUGAGGGAUCCUUGGGUUUCACAUGGAUUGUCUCUAGAAGCUGUAAAGGCCAUUGGCCUUUAUAGUAUCGGUAGACUUGAGGUGUUUAAUGAUAAAAGGCCAUGAUAAAUGGUAAUAUAGGAACAUUUUCUAAUGGUUGGGUGCUUCAGGUUUUUCUUUCUAAUCUUCCCCACUUUUAAAAAGGAAGGUUAGCCUUGAAAUUAUGACAAAAAUGAGAGAGUCUGUUGUGAUUUUUUUCAUUUGCUUUCCAAAAAUAAACAAAACCCUUGUGAAUUUGAAAGUGUUAAAGUGUGCAAGCAUUUUAGAACUUUAUUCCCGUUAAUUAUCCACCUUUAAUCAGUUUAAAAGCCUGAAGAUUAAAAUCUAAUAUUGGUAUUUUUGACAUGCCUGUAUACCAACAGUUGUCUCAUGACCAGUGGUUCUCAACCUUCCUAAUGCUGUGACCUUUAAUACAGUUUCUUAUGUUGUGGUGACCCCCAACCAUAACAUUAUUUUUGUUGCUAAUUCAUAACUGUAAUUUUGCAAUUAUGAAUUGUAAUGUAAAUAUCUGAUGUGGAUGUGCAGGAUAUCUGAUAUGGGACCCCUAUGAAAGGUUGUUCAACCCUCCCAAAGGGGUCAUGACCCACGGGUUGAGAGCCAUUGCUCUUGACUCUAGCACAAAACUGUGUUCUAUUGACAAUUAAACCAAGGGCCUCUGCAUGUUCUACAACCAAA